UACGUAGGGGGCAAGCGUUGUCCGGAAUCAUUGGGCGUAAAGAGCUCGUAGGCGGUUCGUCACGUCGGCUGUGAAAUCCCGAGGCUCAACCUCGGGUCUGCAGUCGAUACGGGCGGACUGGAGUACUGCAGGGGAGACUGGAAUUCCUGGUGUAGCGGUGGAAUGCGCAGAUAUCAGGAGGAACACCGGUGGCGAAGGCGGGUCUCUGGGCAGUAACUGACGCUGAGGAGCGAAAGCGUGGGGGAGCGAACAGG
rnacentral:rRNA from 1 species